UGGGGAAUAUUGCACAAUGGGCGGAAGCCUGAUGCAGCAACGCCGCGUGAGGGAUGACGGCCUUCGGGUUGUAAACCUCUUUUAGCAGGGAAGAAGCGAGAGUGACGGUACCUGCAGAAAAGCGCCGGCUAACUACGUGCCAGCAGCCGCGGUAAUACGUAGGGCGCAAGCGUUAUCCGGAAUUAUUGGGCGUAAAGAGCUCGUAGGCGGUUUGUCGCGUCUGCUGUGAAAUCCCGAGGCUCAACCUCGGGCCUGCAGUGGGUACGGGCAGACUAGAGUGCGGUAGGGGAGAUUGGAAUUCCUGGUGUAGCGGUGGAAUGCGCAGAUAUCAGGAGGAACACCGAUGGCGAAGGCAGAUCUCUGGGCCGUAACUGACGCUGAGGAGCGAAAGGGUGGGGAGCAAACAGGCUUAGAUACCCUGGUAGUCCACCCCGUAAACGUUGGGAACUAGUUGUGGGACCAUUCCACGGUUUCCGUGACGCAGCUAACGCAUUAAGUUCCCCGCCUGGGGAGUACGGCCGCAAGGCUAAACUU
rnacentral:rRNA from 1 species